GGCCUGAUGGUCUAGUAGUAUGAUUCUCCCUUCGGGUUAAACACCCGCCCUUCGUAGGGCUCGCUUGGGAGAGGUCCCGGGUUCAAUUCCCGGUCAGGCCC